UACGGGGGGGGCAAGCGUUGUUCGGAAUUACUGGGCGUAAAGGGUUCGUAGGUGGCCAACUAAGUCAGACGUGAAAUCCCUCAGCUUAACUGGGGAACUGCGUCUGAUACUGGAUGGCUUGAGAUUGGGAGAGGGAUGCGGAAUUCCAGGUGUAGCGGUGAAAUGCGUAGAUAUCUGGAGGAACACCGGUGGCGAAGGCGGCAUCCUGGACCAACACUGACACUGAGGAGCGAAAGCCAGGGGAGCAAACGGG
rnacentral:rRNA from 1 species